GUUUCCAUAGUGUAGUGGUUAUCACGUCUGCCUCACACGCCAGAGGCCCCUGGUUUGAAACCGGGUGGGAACA